GAUGCUGUGAACUGAAAAGGCUGCAAUCUGUCCAAGAAGAAACAAUGCUUAAACAGAGAAUCAGAGCUGGCUAGAGAAAUUCACAAGAAGAGAAGGGUAUCUGAAGCGAAGACCAUGUCAAGAACUACUAUAUGAAGCCAGACACUUCUUUUUGGCUACCGACCGAAUUCCUAUUUCCUAUCUAAGGAACACCUUCAGCUCCCAACUUGUUCAGUACUGAGGAGAAAAAUAAGGACGAGGAUGUCAGUGGCAGAAGGCCUUCUAUGUACCAGGCACUCAGAUGUUAAGCCUUGUGACAAAGGGUGAAGCCAGUACUAUGAGGAGCCUCUCUGGACCUGGGUGGCUCUUCCCUGACAGGUCAGCUGUCCAGUCAUCUCUGUGGCUGUCCCAACCUAAGGGUUGGUUCUGGAGACAGAGAUCAAAGUCUGCAUGAAUCAAAGGAGUAAAACACGAGACUUAGCAUCUCAGCAAGCAGCCUCCAAACUCCAUCCUCUCUGGAAUCUCGAGGAGAAGCGAACCCUAAGCCUCACUGGGUGUGAUCCUGCAGAUCUGGGAUGCCUUCCAGGUUGGAAUGGAACUUCUUGGGAAGAGAAAAUAUCCCCCAUGAGCAGCAACCCCAUCAGGACCAGCAGGGUAUGAGGAUGGGGCGGAGGAACACAAAAUACAGAGCAGACAAGGGUCCAGGCUACUCUAUGGCCAGUGAUGGAGAGGAUUUGAGAGCAACCAAAGUAACCCCCUAAAUUUACAUCCUGUAGCCCUCUCACCCAUUACUGCCUAUUAAUCGAGACUUCGGUUUCUGAUAUGGUUACCCUCUCGGCUGUGAUAAGUCACUUCAGUUGUGUCU